rnacentral:rRNA from 1 species
UUCCGGUUGAUCCUGCCGGACCUGACUGCUAUCGGAUUGAUACUAAGCCAUGCGAGUCAUUGUAGCAAUACAAGGCAGACGGCUCAGUAACGCGUAGUCAACCUACCCUAUGGACGGGGAUAACCUCGGGAAACUGAGAAUAAUACCCGAUAGAACACUAUACCUGGAAUGGUUUGUGUUCCAAAUAAUUUAUUGCCGUAGGAUGGGACUGCGGCCUAUCAGUUUGUUGGUGAGGUAAUGGCCCACCAAGACUAUUACAGGUACGGGCUCUGAGAGGAGUGGCCCGGAGAUGGGUACUGAGACACGGACCCAGGCCCUAUGGGGCGCAGCAGGCGAGAAAACUUUGCAAUGUGCGAAAGCACGACAAGGUUAAUCCGAGUGGUUUCUGCUAAAGGAACCUUUUGACAGUCCUAGAAACACUGUUGAAUAAGGGGUGGGCAAGUUCUGGUGUCAGCCGCCGCGGUAAAACCAGCACCUCAAGUGGUCAGGAUGAUUAUUGGGCCUAAAGCAUCCGUAGCCGGCUCUGUAAGUUUUCGGUUAAAUCUGUACGCUUAACGUACAGGCUGCUGGGAAUACUGCAGAGCUAGGGAGUGGGAGAGGUAGACGGUACUCGGGAGGAAGUGGUAAAAUGCUUUGAUCUCUCGAUGACCACCUGUGGCGAAGGCGGUCUACCAGAACACGUCCGACGGUGAGGGAUGAAAGCUGGGGGAGCAAACCGGAUUAGAUACCCGGGUAGUCCCAGCUGUAAACUAUGCAAACUCAAUGAUGCACUGGCUUAUGGCCAGUGCAGUGUUGCAGGGAAGCCGUUAAGUUUGCCGCCUGGGAAGUACGUACGCAAGUAUGAAACUUAAAGGAAUUGGCGGGGGAGCACCACAAGGGGUGAAGCCUGCGGUUCAAUUGGAUUCAACGCCGGG